GACGAACGCUGGCGGCGUGCUUAACACAUGCAAGUCGAACGGAAAGGCCCUGCUUGCAGGGUGCUCGAGUGGCGAACGGGUGAGUAACACGUGGGUGAUCUGCCCCUUACUUUGGGAUAAGCCUGGGAAACUGGGUCUAAUACUGGAUAGGACCAUGCUGUAGGUGGUGUGGUGGAAAGAUUAGUUUCGGUAAGGGAUGAGCUCGCGGCCUAUCAGCUUGUUGGUGGGGUAAUGGCCUACCAAGGCGUCGACGGGUAGCCGGCCUGAGAGGGUGGACGGCCACAUUGGGACUGAGAUACGGCCCAGACUCCUACGGGAGGCAGCAGUGGGGAAUAUUGCACAAUGGGCGCAAGCCCGAUGCAGCGACGCCGCGGGGGGGAUGACGGCCUUCGGGUUGUAAACUCCUUUCAGCCAUGACGAAGCCCUUGUGGUGACGGUAGUGGUAGAAGAAGCACCGGCUAACUACGUG
rnacentral:rRNA from 1 species